UAGGAAUCUUCCACAAUGGGCGAAAGCCUGAUGGAGCGACGCCGCGUGAGGGAUGAAGGCCUUAGGGUUGUAAACCUCUAAAAGAGGGACGAUAAUGACGGUACCUCUUGAAUAGCACCGGCUAACUCCGUGCCAGCAGCCGCGGUAAUACGGAGGGUGCAAGCGUUAUCCGGAAUCACUAGGCGUAAAGGGCGCGUAGGCGGUCUGUUAAGUCCGAUGUUAAAUCCCGGGGCUCAACCCCGGAUAAGCGUUGGAUACUGGCAGGCUAGACGGUUGGAGAGGCGAGUGGAAUUACCAGUGUAGCGGUGGAAUGCGUAGAUACUGGUAGGAACACCCAUUGCGAAGGCAGCUCGCUGGACAACACGUGACGCUGAGGCGCGAAAGUGUGGGGAGCAAACC
rnacentral:rRNA from 1 species